rnacentral:rRNA from 1 species
UACGAAGGGUGCAAGCGUUACUCGGAAUUACUGGGCGUAAAGCGUGCGUAGGUGGUGAGUUAAGUCUGUCGUGAAAGCCCCGGGCUCAACCUGGGAAUGGCGAUGGAUACUGGCUCGCUAGAGUGCGGUAGAGGAGAGUGGAAUUCCCGGUGUAGCAGUGAAAUGCGCAGAUAUCAGGAGGAACACCGGUGGCGAAGGCGGGUCUCUGGGCCGAUACUGACGCUGAGGAGCGAAAGCGUGGGGAGCAAACAGG